AUGGCGGGAGAAUUUGGCGCCAUCCGCUUCAUUUCCCGCCCCGCCGCCUCCCUAUUUAUCGUCCCCCGCCGCACCCACGGCCGCCCUCAGCUCCAGCUCCAACUCCUGCUCGACUCCUCUCCUUCUAUCUCUCGCCGCCGGCCACCGAGAACCCUCCCGUCCGUCGCAAUGGCCGCCACCAACGGCGCUGGCGCCGACCCCGUGCACGAGCCUCCCCACAAGAUCACCAAGAUGGCGCCCCUGCUCAAGGUCAAGAAGCUCUCCGACAAGGCCAUCCUGCCGUCCCGCGGCUCCGCCCUCGCCGCCGGCUACGACCUCUCCAGCGCGGUGGAGACGGUCGUGCCGGCGAGGGGCAAGGCGCUGGUGGCCACCGACCUGAGCAUCGCCAUCCCGGAGGGCACCUACGCGCGCAUCGCGCCGAGGUCGGGCCUGGCGCUGAAGCACGCCAUCGACGUGGGCGCCGGGGUGAUCGACGCCGACUACCGCGGCCCGGUGGGCGUCGUGCUCUUCAACCACUCGGAGGUGGACUUCGCCGUGAAGCCCGGCGACCGCGUUGCGCAGAUGAUCGUCCAGGUGAUAGCGACGCCGGAGGUCGCCGAGGUGGAGGACCUCGACGCCACCGUCCGCGGGGAGGGAGGGUUCGGGUCCACCGGCGUCUGA
rnacentral:rRNA from 1 species